AUGUGCCCAGAUGGGAUUAGCUAGUAGGUGGGGUAACGGCUCACCUAGGCGACGAUCCCUAGCUGGUCUGAGAGGAUGACCAGCUACACUGGAACUGAGACACGGUCCAGACUCCUACGGGAGGCAGCAUG
rnacentral:rRNA from 1 species